rnacentral:rRNA from 1 species
GAUGAACGCUAGCUAUAGGGUUAACACAUGCAAGUCGAGGGGAAACGGCAUUAUGUGCUUGCACAUUUUGGACGUCGACCGGCGCACGGGUGAGUAUCGCGUAUCCAACCUGCCCUUUACUUGGGGAUACCCCGUUGAAAGACGGCCUAAUACCCGAUGUAAUUCAUUGAUGGCAUCAGAUAUGAAUAAAAGAUUUAUCGGUAAAGGAUGGGGAUGCGUCUGAUUAGCUUGUUGGUGAGGUAACGGCUCACCAAGGCGACGAUCAGUAGGGGUUCUGAGAGGAAGGUCCCCCACAUUGGAACUGAGACACGGUCCAAACUCCUACGGGAGGCAGCAGUGAGGAAUAUUGGUCAAUGGGCGCAAGCCUGAACCAGCCAAGUAGCGUGCAGGAAGACGGCCCUAUGGGUUGUAAACUGCUUUUAUACGAGAAUAAUUUGAUGCACGUGUGCGUUAUUGCAUGUAUCGUAUGAAUAAGGACCGGCUAAUUCCGUG